AAAGUCGUAACAAGGUUUCCGUAGGUGAACCUGCGGAAGGAUCAUUAUGAAUUCAGUAGCUUGCUACUGUGACUGGGGGACUGGGAAAAUAUUGGUUACCGCCUUUACAAGUACCUACCCCCUAUCAUACCCUUGAUUUUUGAGUACCCAAGUUUCCUUGGUGGGCUUGCCCGCCAAAAGGACAAUUAAUAAACCAUUUUGAAUUUGAAAUCAGCGUCUGAAUAAUUUAAUAAUUACAACUUUCAACAACGGAUCUCUUGGUUCUG
rnacentral:misc_RNA from 1 species